rnacentral:rRNA from 1 species
AAGAGCUCGUAGGCGGUUUGUCACGUCUGCUGUGAAAACCCGAGGCUCAACCUCGGGCUUGCAGUGGGUACGGGCAGACUAGAGUGCGGUAGGGGAGAUUGGAAUUCCUGGUGUAGCGGUGGAAUGUGCAGAUAUCAGGAGGAACACCGAUGGCGAAGGCAGAUCUCUGGGCCGUAACUGACGCUGAGGAGCGAAAGCAUGGGGAGCAAACAGGCUUAGAUACCCUGGUAGUCCAUGCCGUAAACGUUGGGAACUAGAUGUGGGGACCAUUCCACGGUCUCCGUGUCGUAGCUAACGCAUUAAGUUCCCCGCCUGGGGAGUACGGCCGCAAGGCUAAAACUCAAAGGAAUUGACGGGGGCCCGCACAAGCGGCGGAGCAUGCGGAUUAAUUCGAUGCAACGCGAAGAACCUUACCAAGGCUUGACAUAUACCGGAAACGGCCAGAGAUGGUCGCCCCGCAAGGUCGGUAUACAGGUGGUGCAUGGUUGUCGUCAGCUCGCGUCGUGAGAUGUUGGGUUAAGUCCCGCAACGAGCGCAACCCUCGUCCUAUGUUGCCAGCACGUAAUGGUGGGAACUCAUGGGAUACUGCCGGGAUCAACUCGGAGGAAGGUGGGGAUGAGGUCAAAUCAUCAUGCCCCUUAUGUCUUGGGCUUCACGCAUGCUACAAUGGCCGGUACAAUGGGCUGCGAUACCGCAAGGUGGAGCGAAUCCCAAAAAGCCGGUCUCAGUUCGGAUUGGGGUCUGCAACUCGACCCCAUGAAGUCGGAGUCGCUAGUAAUC